GAAAACUCCAAUUUUCUUCUCAUUCUUCUGUUCUUUUCCAUUCUCUUGCCUUGACUCUAAAACCCUAUGAAUCAGUGAGAGUAAGAGGUGCAUUGUUAACCGCUUGUUAUUUUAGAUCCUUGAAUUGAAGCAGAAUAGAGUAUUCAAGAGCAAGGAUGCAAAUGGGUUAUCUUGUUGUGGAAUGAGCGGUUGAGAGUUAGGAUUCAUUCUGGAGCAGCAAGCUACAAGAAGCUUGCGGAAGCGAAGCUAGAGACACAAAGUUGGUAUUUACUUUGUCGUCCUUAUAUAUGUAUAUAUCAUGGUAUAAUAACAAGUGGGCAUUGGGGGUGUUUUGGAAUGGUGUUCAGUUUGCUUAAAAAGUAUUUCAAUUUCAUUUCAUAAAUAUCUUAUGAGUGUGUCUAUCAGUUUGGAACAUUUCCUGUUGUCGAGUUUUACAUUUCAUGUUGUCGAAUUUAUCAGUUUGGAACAUUUCCUGUUGUCGAAUUUUACUGCAUUAGCAAGUCAUGCUUUACAUAUAUUUCAACUUCUCCCAAUUUCUACUUUAAGAAAUUUCUAAAUUUCAACUUAUGAGAGACUUAAUACCAUGGAACUUUGCUUUUGCUGUGUAAGAUUUAUGUACAAGGAAACACAUAUCUUCAUCAUUUUAGUAUCUUAGUCUCUUCUGUUUAACUAUCACUGUAUAAAAUCAUGCUCUUUAAUACUUUAUUUUUGAAUAAAUUCAUUCUGUUUUAUAUGUUAUGUAUCCGGUUUAUACUUUCGAGUGACGGAACGGGGGUUUAGCUCUGCUGGACGGGUUGAAAUCCAACCCGUCAGAGGGGAAAUUUCUGGUCCGUUGGUUUGUAUGCUACCGCGAUUCGCACUCUCGCCUUUAGUGGAGUUGCACCCAAUAAUGAAGGUACACUGGCUGAACUUCGAUGCAAACACCCCACUGCUGCCUUGCCUAUUAUCCCUCUACUCCACCUUCACAGGAGGCUAUGAUAGCUACCACGGAGCUUGUGCUGAGCAGAUUAAGGAGUUUCCUUAAGGGGACAUCCCGUGGAGGAGACGGUUUCCGUGCACAACAUCUUCUCGAUGUUCUCAGUGGGCCGACAACUGUUAUUUCAGAUAAGUUACACGCCUCCAUCAUGAAAGUGGUUAACUUAUGGCUUUCAGGCUCUUGUCCGUCGGUUUUGGGGGAAUAUAUGUAGCCAGCGCUCCUCUCACCCCACUCAUCAAACCUGGUGGUGGAUUGCGGCCUAUAGCAGUUGGCACAAUAGGCAAGGAAAUGAACUCAUAUCUGGGUGAUUUCCAGUUUGGAGUGGGGGCCAAGUGCGGUGGAGAAGCUAUUCUACAUGCUGUUAAUCGUGUGUUGGAAGAUAAAGGAGACCAAAGUACGCUAUCCAUGUUGCUGGUAGAUUUCUCUAAUGCGUUCAAUCUCAUAGAUAGAACAACCAUGAUCUCAGAGGUACGUAGGUUAUGUCCUUCGAUAUCUCAUUGGGUUGAGUUUUGUUACGCUUCACCGGCACGACUAUAUUAUAUGGAUCAUGUACUUUCUUCAGCUCAGGGAGUGCAACAAGGUGAUCCUUUAGGGCCACUUUUGUUCGCCCUUACUCUCCCCACCUGCUAGUCUUGAGUAUUUCGAAAAGUGUGAUUUAGAACUGCAUGCAUGGUAUCUUGAUGAUGGUACGGUGAUUGGGGACACUACGAUGGUUGCUAGAGCAAUGAAGAUUAUUCAAGAAGAAGGUGUUGCUAGGGGGAUGUUUUUGAACAUCAAGAAGACUGACUAAUUUUGGCCCUCUCUAGACCCCAGGACAGCCAUUGCAGGUAUGUUUCCAUCUGAUAUUUGUAGGCCAGAGAAGGGGUUAAGCUUCUAGGUGCUCCUGGUAGCCUUGAUGCUCAAUUCAACGCGGAUCUGAUUGUAAAAAGAGUGCAAAAAACUAUGGAGCUCAUUGAUGCAGUGGAAAAACUUGAAGAACCACAGUGUGAGCUUCUUUUGUUUAGGAACUGUGCUGGAGUUUCUCGCUUAUAUUUUGCUUUACGCACUACUUUUCCAGACUGCACAUUUGCGGCUCAAGAUCUGUUUGACUCUCGUCUCUACAAGUUCCUACAACAUGUAAUCACAGGAGAUGGUCCAGGUUUCGGCCCCUUGCAAAUGCGGUUUUGCCCGCUGCCCCUGGUUUAGGUGUUUAUUCGAUGCAAGACAUUAUGCACUACUGCUAUUUAGCGUCGUGCUUGCAAACACUAGAAUUGCAGUAUGUUAUUUUGAGACACACCCGCACUAGUGGUUUCAGCUCCCACCUUGAGCGUGCUGCAGCUUCUUUCAACUCUCUGUGUAGUCAUGUUUCUCCUAUAUGCAUCGAUAGCACUGCCACCCAUUCUAUGUCAACUGGCCACUGUUUAUUUUGAUGCAGUAAAGAAGAACUUGACUUCCAAUUUCAAGUUGUCUGAACGGGAUUCAUUCCUAUGGCAGAGUAACCAGGUGAAGCAUGCCAUGGAUUUCUUAUUGGCUAUCCCUAUUCCUGGCCUAAAUCAGCAAAUUGGUUCGAGGCAGUUUAGUGCGAUACUAUGUUAUAGACUUGGUAUCCCCUUGUUUGAACCAGAUAGUUUGUUCCCCUUCUGCAAGAGAGAGAUGGAUGUUUUUGGCGACCAUGCAGUGCACUGUACGAAUGAAGUUGGUUUAAAAUUUCGGCAUGAUUUAGUACGUGACACGAUUGCAGACAUAUGUUAUCGGGAUGGGGUGCCUGCACGGAAAGAGGUGGACUUGGGUCUUCUUGCGAACAACGAUACUUCCCUGAGACCGACAGAUGUUCUUGUGCUCAAUUGGGAUAAUGGUCGGGACGUUUGCUUCGAUAUGACGAUCGUGUCGCCUUUUGCUGUGGGUAAUGGUCGUACUUUGGAGGGGGAAAGGCUAUCAAGGAUCCUGUCAGUCGCAAAAAUACCAAGUAUUUGGCAAAAUACCCUGCGCAAGGAUAUGGGUUUGGUGCUUUGGCUUUCACUAUUUUGGGUGAACUUGGUGACGGAACAACAGACUUCAUUAAGCGGCUUCACAACUAUAUGGCUAGUCAUGAUGCUAAUGUGCGUGUAGGUGAUUUCAUUUUUCACAGGUUGAGUGUGAUAGUUCAAAAAAGAGUUAGAACCCAGCUUGUUGCUCGGGUUCCGCUGAUGAGAAUUCUUUUGAAUUUGAUUAAUCUUAUAUUAAAAAAUAAAAUU